GCUCCUACAAGGGUUCACUAAGUGAGUACCGAGGGCGGGCUGGGAUGAGGAGGGAAAGUCAGGGACUACUCAUCAGAUGUGAAGACGGAGAGACUCAAGUAGGAGUUAGCUAGUGAAGAGCCAGGAGACAUUGUGGAAAGAGAGUUUUGGUGAAAGACAACAGUACAUGUGAAGACCCCAAGAGAUGUACAGAAGGAAGACCACAUGAAGACACCAGGAGAUGUCAGCCUUCUUUGAGCAGAGGAAAGAGACCUCAAAAGAAACCAACGCUGCUGACACCUUCAUCUUAGACUUUUAGUCUCAAGAACUGACUCCCAGUGAUGCCUGUACAGCCCUGGAUCUUCAGAGACCAAGAUUUGAAGAAUGCUGACUUAAUAACUUAAUUCAAUUUUAGGGAGGAAACAUAAUAUUUAUUUUGCUCUGACAGCAUGAGGUUUGAAUAUCUCUACUCCUGAGUAGAGGCAACUCUUCUCUAUGUUUCUUGAAUCUCAACAAGGAGAAUCUCUUCUGGUGGUGCUUAAAUGAAGUCCAACCAGGAAAUUUCAUAGAAGAAGGCAAAAUAUUUGACACACUCUACUUACUCAGGUAUAAUGCUCUCUGAAGAUGUGGAUUCCAUUUCUUCAUCUGAGUUUACAUAAACUGUAGAAUGAAUAAGGAAAAUCUUGAUGAGAGAAAAUUCAAAUAAUGCUAUAAUCUCAGAGGAUCCUUAUAACAGCCCUGUAGGGUAGAUAUUAUUGGGUAAAACCAUGUGAAACUGCCAUUUGUCUAAAUUA